rnacentral:lncRNA from 1 species
GAAAUAGAUGGUGUUAAAAACAAAAUUCAACUGAGUAAAUUUUCAGGAUAUCAUUGACUUUAUUCAGUAAUUCAUGAAUCAAGCAACAUGAAAUCUAACAGAAAGUCAAAAGAUUUUAUAGGCAGAAGGGAGCAGGAACAGGGAAACUGUACUAGGCAAAAAGCAGAAGGAUUAUGGCAGGGUUUCUUUCCUUUAGGGGAGGGUAGGAGUCUACAGGCAGAUGACCUAACUGAAACUGAUCUGGCAAUUUCUAAUUGACUGGUUUAAGAUUCCAUUUCUAAGACAGACAAACUGAAUUAAAUGAAGUCUUGGUUUGGUGAGUGGUGGCUUAGCAUAAGUGACUCCAUUUUGGGCCUGUUGUCUUUAACAGUAGUGUUGGUUCCAGGGUCAAAGAAAGAGCACAAACAGUCAAUUUCACUCUAAUGCAAUGUGAGUACACCCAACACCUAACCACACCCCUACCCAUUUCGCAGGAUGGAACUCGGACUGGCCAUCUAAGCCUGGGGAGCCUUCCAGAGAGGCUCAAACCUCUUUUGCACCUAGAGGCGUCUAUUGUACUAGAAAACGGGAACUUCCCCAAACCACAUUAUAAAGAUUGUGAGCUAUCUUAUUGUCUAAUUCUGUGCUAUAUUUAGAUACUCAACCGGAUUUCAUGAAAAAAGUCUAAAUUUGAGGCCCUUUGGAAAUGUGAGGUCUAGGCAAAAAAAUUCUCCUCUUCUCCCUCACCUCCAUCCCCAAAUCGAUUUUCCUCCAUGAUAAAGUUUGACAAAGUAAUACAGCCUCACCAGAGCUCCUGUGAGUCUGUUCAGAGCCUUUAUUUAGUAUAGCAAGUUUCCCACUCUGGGACUACCAGCGAGGGAUGCACAGACUGGGGCCCCUAUUGGCCCCUCCACCAGGCAGCUUUGUGUAGUAUACAACCUGUGCCACCAUAUAAAGCCACCCUAAGACAACUGUCUGACCCUUCGGGGAAAAAAAUCAGACCCUUUGUCUGGAGUUGAAGGAUAAAAGAGAGGGUGAAUCUAAUUGCAUCAGAUAUCUUAGGCCCCACUGUGCCAUGCGUCCAGGGUAACUGGGAUCCAAAUCAUCUCGGACUUGAGAGCAGGAACUUGCUUCUUAAAGGAAGUGAUUUCUGUCUUCCAGUCACUUGUGUUUUUAACAACUGGCUGUUUCUUGCCUUUUGUGUCCUCCUAUAACUCUGCUUACAGAAUGAGCCCGCAAAGGAUGGGCUGAAGCUGGGUUGGGAAAGCUUUUGAAAGCAAGCCAGGCGGAAACUUGAAGACAAAAGGUCUUCAAGCAGAUAUUAUUUGCAGUCUUGGGUUAAGCAGCUGCUGGGGGUGGGGGAAGACAGUAAGAAGUGUGCCCUAAAUGAAGCUUCGAAGGGGGACUUGUUUAGCUUGGUAGGCUGGGGAGGUUGAAAGAGGCCAUAGGACAAGGUCUUUUUUUUAAUCCGCCACUCCCUUCCCCGAGCUGAGACUUGUUAAUCAGGUAUGGGUGGUAAAGUUCCCUAAAUGUGCAGCCUGACAGCAGUGCCUGACAGCUGGUAGUCAGGUUGCCAUGUCAACAGGAAGAGACCCUACUGGGGUUUAUAUUUACUCAUCACCAAGUUCUCUGAGUGGUUCUUUUUUAAAGAUUGAUUUAUUUAUUCAUUUGACUGUAGGGUUUGUUGCUGCACCUGGGCUUUCUCUAGAUGUGGUGGGCAGGAGCUACUCCUCGUUGCAGUGCAUGGCUUUUCAUUGCAGUGACUUCUCUUGUGGAGCUUGAGCUCUAGAGCUCAGGCUCAGUAGUUGUGGCCCACGGCCUUAGUUGCUACACGGCGUGAGGGAUCUUCCCAGACCAGGGAUCAAACCGGUGUCCCUUGCGUUGCAAGGCAGAUUCUUAACCACUGCACCACAAGGGAAGCCCCUGUAUGAGUAGCUCUUACCUAUGGAUAAAGCUAAAAAAGCUGAUCUCUGACCCCCAGAUUACUUCCCUAGGCAAUGGAAUUAUUUUGACUGCAGUGGGGAAGACUGGGAUCCUACAGAGGUACCCCGCAAAGGUGGGUGGGAGUGGAAGAGGGAUGGAGUUCCCAUGAGCAUUCUGUUUCCCUGACAGGGAAAUUCACAUUUAUGGUGCAUCUCCUAUGUGUCUGAUAUUCUGCUAUAAGCUGCACAGAUUAGGUUUUAUUUCAUUCUCACACCUAACCUAUAGGAUUGCUACUGGUAUUCCCAUUUUACAGAUAAGCAAAGAGAGGCUAAACGGCCAAACAGCAGAGCAGUAGUUAACCGAAGUUAGGUCCACAAGAUGGAUUAUUAUGCAGCUAUUUAAAAGUCAUCUUUCUGAAUAUGUUUCUUGACACAUUCUCAAAACUGCACAAUACAGCCUGCCUAUAUGAUAAAAUACACGUGAUGAAUAAAUAUCCAUAGGAAAAGGUAUGGAUAAUAAUAUUGUUGUUGUUGUUCAGUCACUCAGUCGUGUCCAACUCUGUGACCCCAUGGAAUGCAGCACGCCAGGCUUCCCUGUCC